AUUAGGUCAUAAAUACAGAAAACAUAAGAAUCAAAGGUUUAUUUAAUCUCAUAAAUUAAAGUGGCUCAGGGUUCAAGGAGCAGCACAUUCACCACAAAAGGGGCAGAAGCUCAGCAAAGCCCAAAGCUGCAGAGCAGGGUCCAAGGCAGAGGGGUGGGGUUUGCAAGCAAAUGAGAUUAAAAUGAUGGGACAGAAGGGGCUCAGCGAGACACGGGGAGAUGGAGUCUGGAGUCUGAGAGCACAACGCUGCCCCCAACAGGGAAAAAAGGAAGACAAGAAAAGCUUUGGUGCAGCAGAGAAUCCACCUGCCUGUCCAAGCCCUUCCCCAAAGCCUGGAUAAAAAAAUCCACAUCAUCCUGAAGGAGCAUCCUCUGACUUUGCCAUUCAGCCUCCCAGCUGCUUGGCAGCCACUCCAAUGCCAGUGUGAUGAUUGUUAUUAUUAUUGUUGUUGUUAUUAUUACUGAAAAUAACAUCCUUAUCCUUCCAGCCACUCAGGCCUCUGCACAGGUGAGGGGAACAAAGGGCUCCACACAAUAAAUGCACAUUUUCCUGCAUUUGCUGUCAGGCACAGCACAAUUCCUGCUACAGCACUGCCUCUGACUCCUGCACAGCUCAUUCUGAGAUCAAAGCACAGAAAUGCCAUGGGGACAACAAGGAAAGGAAAGGAACACACAGAGCCUCUUCCCUGCUGCAGUUUGGCAAUAAAACCUGUGGGGCUGCACGGCAGAGGAAAAACCAACCUGGCCCUGGGAAUAUUCUCCUCUUUCAGUCUGGGCACCAGGGAACGCCUUGGGAGGCCAAAAUGACAAAAACCCGGGAGAAAGAGUCACAAAGCCAGCAAAAGCCUUGUCACAGAGAGUCACAAAGGCAGCAGUAACCGUGGCACUGCACAAGGACACAGCACGUUCUGAGGACCGCCUGAAUUCCAGCUCCUGGGGCAACCCUGCACGCCCAAAAACUGCUUUUCCACAUGCAACGUUUGAGUGGCAGCCUCAGAUCCCGGCUCCUCCUGGGCUUCACACCAAGCUAAGCAAGGAAUAACUUCAGAGAGGCCAGAGAAGUUUCACCCCUGCAAGCUCCUGAUGCCUUUACUCCUCCAGAGAUGGACAAGCAGGCAGGAAGGAGAUUUGGGAGACCUGCCUUGUGGAAAGCAUCCCCCUGCAGAGCUGGGGAAUGCCACCUUCUGCUCUCAGAAAGCUUUUCCUACCCCACACAAGGAGCCAGCAUCCCCUGGGAACAGCCAGGCAGGGGUUUGCCACAGGGAGCGCUCCCACAUACCUGCCACAAGAGGCAGAGAAGUGAUGGACUGGUGAUUGGGCCAGUGUCGUUGGCGAGGUGGCACGCUCACCCUCCAAUCCACUGGCACCUUUGGAAAACUAUAAAUGCUGGAGUCAGAAAAUAAAC